rnacentral:rRNA from 1 species
AACGAACGCUGGCGGCAUGCCUAACACAUGCAAGUCGAACGAUCCUUCGGGAUAGUGGCGGACGGGUGAGUAACACGUGGGAACGUGCCCUUUGGUUCGGAAUAACUCAGGGAAACUUGAGCUAAUACCGGAUGUGCCCUUCGGGGGAAAGAUUUAUCGCCAUUGGAGCGGCCCGCGUUGGAUUAGCUAGUUGGUGGGGUAAAGGCCCACCAAGGCUACGAUCCAUAGCUGGUCUGAGAGGAUGAUCAGCCACACUGGGACUGAGACACGGCCCAGACUCCUACGGGAGGCAGCAGUGGGGAAUCUUGCGCAAUGGGCGAAAGCCUGACGCAGCCAUGCCGCGUGAAUGAUGAAGGUCUUAGGAUUGUAAAAUUCUUUCACCGGGGACGAUAAUGACGGUACCCGGAGAAGAAGCCCCGGCUAACUUCGUGCCAGCAGCCGCAGUAAAAC